UUAUUUAAAAACCUAGUCGUCUGGUCAGGCAGUUCCGGGCAAAUAGAUUUUCAAAGUAUUUGGCUGGCAAGUAAAGUUAGUUAUCAGUUGAACAUUGAGCCCUGAACAGUUUUGCAUGACAAUUAUAAUGUUCCUUCUUGAUAUUAUUCAUACUUUAUAUAACUUAUAAUAAUUGUUCGAGAGCAAAAAGUCUAAUUUGAUUUCAUGUAUUUCAUACUUCAUUACAGAAUAUUAAGAUUCAAGGUGCUACAAAUACAAAAUGAAGUCUGCACUGACACAAAGACAUGUCUCGAGACCAGCCAUAAAGCUGAAGCUAUUUAAUGCAGCAUUUUUUUUCCUUUUGUUUUAUGACACUGAAAGCAAGGCCUGAACAUUUGCUGAUUUAUAGCCAACGAACAAUUGGAGUGUAUAUAUAAUUGUGUAUUAAAGAAAAUAAAGAAAUUGCCAUCAACAAGGAUUUACUAUACACAAUUGAACAACACAAAUGGAUGUCAUACGGUUUAGUCCUCUUUGACUCUGAUGGAACAACAGCCGUUAUUCCAAGGUGCAACUAAAAGAAGAUGCGACUGUGGGACAACAAUUUCAUCUGAAAGCAGCUGGGAACCACCUUUGUGAAAUCUUACACCUUGAAGACACAAAGGAUGAACUAGACCCAUGGGAGCAAGUGUGGUCAACAACAUCAAGAAGCAAGAUGAUUAACCAAAAGACAGGGGUGAAACAAGUGGAUUUCUUGACCAGCAGAGUCUUCAAUCGUUUGUUCUGUUGGACCCAGUAACUGUUACCGACUCAGCUCUUCCCAAAACCUCUGGAAAACGCAAGAAGUCAUCUCCAAAACAACAAAACAGAAAACGAAAGAAUGAACAAAUCCCGAACCCAAGAACCAAGAAAGUGACCCCUAAACCAAAAGGUGCAUCGACUUUAAAGUCAACUCUAAAAAGGGCAUCACAUCCACAAGAUGCCUCAACUCCAAAAGUAGCGACAAUAUUAUUAAAAUUCUGCAAACAAACGAUUUGAACAGGGACUUUCAUUGUUAACUCUUUCAAUGUGUUUCAACACUUGUAUUCUGUAAGCAAUCAGUCACGUUUCUUUUUUCAUUUUCUGUGAGUCUUUUUUUUAUUUAAGUUAAAGAAAUGUGAAUUAUUAAGGGUAUUUGGUCAUUAUCUUUUGUUCUUGCUAUAAAGGUAAAGUAAAAGUGUUUUUGUACGUUUAUUAUAGGCUUUAUAUAUGUUACUUCUAUGUUAUGUAUUAUUAACUGUUGGUUUUACUUUGGUAUUGUCUUUUUUUUAGCUCACCUGAUUGCUCAGGUGAGCUUUUGUGACCGGUCUUUGUCCGUUGUAUGUCCGUCUUUCCGUUUACAUUUGCUCGUAAACACUCUAGAGGCCACAUUUCUUGUCCCAUCUUCAUGAAACUUGGUCAGAAGCUUUGUCCCAAUGAAAUCUCGGCCGAGUUUGAAACUGGGUUGUGCCGGGUCAAAAACUAGGUCACUAGGUCAAAAAAAAGAAAAACCUUGUAAACACUGUAGAAUUCACAUUUCAUGCCCAAUCUUCAUGUAACUUUGUCAAAAUGUUUGUCUUAAUGAUAUCUUGGUUGAGUUUAAAAGUGGUUCCGAUCCGUUGAAAAACAUGGCAGCCAGUGGGCGGGGCAGGUUUCCUUAUUUGGCUUCAGAGAAACCUUGUAAACACUCUAGAAGUCACAAUUUUUGCCCAAUCAUCAUGAAAAUUGGUCAAAACAUUGGUUCAAUUGAUGUCUCGUACGAGUUCGAAAAUGGUCGAGAUCGGUGAAAAAACAUGGCUGCAGUGGGCGGGGCAUUUUUCUCUAUAUGUAUAUAGUGGCAGUUUUCCCUAUUUGGCUAUAGAGAACCUUGUAAACACUCUAGAAGUCACAAUUUUUGCCUAAUCAUCAUGAAAGUUUGUCGAAACAUUGGUUUUAUUGAUAUCUCUGACGAGUUUAAAAAUGGUCGGGAUCGGUGAAAAAACAUGGCCGCCAGUGGGCGUUUUUUUUUCUCUAUAUGUAUAUAGUGAAAACAUGUGAACACAGAAGUCACAUUUUUGGCCCAAUUUUCAUGAAAUUUGCUCAAAACAUUUGUGUCCUUGAUACGAGAGUUGAGUUAAAAAAUGGUUCCGGUCAGUUGAAUAACAUGGCUGCUUGGAGGGGGGCAGUUUUCUCAUUACGCCCCCCCCCCCUUUUCAAGAAGAGUGGGUAUAUUCUUUUGCUCAUGUCGGUCCGUCCGUCCACGAGAUGGUUUCUGGAUAAUAACUCAAGAGUGCUUAUGCCUCGUAGAUGACCCCUAUUGAUUUUCAGGUCACUAGGUCAAGGUUGCAGUGACCCGAAAUAGUAAAAUGGUUUCCAGAUGAUAACUCAAGAACACUUAUGCCUAGGAUCAUGAAACUUCAUGGGUACAUUGAUCAUGACUCGAAGAUGACCCCUAUUGAUUUUCAGGUCACAAGGUCAAGGUCACGGUGACCUGAAAUAGUAAAAUGGUUUCUGGAUGAUAACUCAAGAACGCUUAUGGCUAGGAUCAUGAAACUACAAUGAUCAUGACUCGCAGAUGACCCCUAUUGAUUUUGAG